rnacentral:rRNA from 1 species
UACGUAGGGGGCAAGCGUUGUCCGGAAUCAUUGGGCGUAAAGAGCGCGUAGGCGGCCCUGUAAGUCCGCUGUGAAAGUCAAGGGCUCAACCCUUGAAUGCCGGUGGAUACUGCAGGGCUAGAGUCCGGAAGAGGCGAGUGGAAUUCCUGGUGUAGCGGUGAAAUGCGCAGAUAUCAGGAGGAACACCGAUGGCGAAGGCGGCAUCCUGGACCGGUAUUGACGCUGAUGCGCGAAAGCUAGGGGAGCAAACAGG